GUGGCGGGAGCACGGUGGUUGUGCAGGGGAUUGCAGUUUGUAAUAUCCCAAGGCCGCGAGUUCGAAUCUCGUUCGCCACU